CAUGAGGGAAAGUUGAAAAGAACUUUGAAGAGAGAGUUCAAGAGUACGUGAAACCGUUCAGGGGUAAACCUGAGAAACCCGAAAAUUCGAAUGGGGAGAUUCAUCGUCAGUGGCACUGGCUUCGCAGUGGUGGGCGAUGCUUUGGACUUCGGUUCGAUGGCACGUUGCCGCUGUGCAUGUCCGGCGUCGUCGUCGUGCACUUCUCCCCUAGUAGGACGUUGCAACCCGCUGGGUGUUGGACUACGGCCUGGAUGGUAGCCUGUUACGUCGCUUCGGCGUUCAUGACAGACCUUCAGUGUUUCUCUCCCGUCCAACUGCUCGGCGGUAUAAAGAAAAAGUGAUCGGCCGCAACCGAUUUUAUCGAAUUGCGUUAGAGGCCCGUGGCAAGCGCGGUCAGUGUCACGGAGGUACGGACUCAGUGCCGGCGCCGUGCCUGUCCAGCUGUUGGCUGACGGAGUCCUUUGACUGGCCGCCUUACUUGUUUGCGACGCUAUUGCUUUGGGUACUCUCAGGACCCGUCUUGAAACACGGACCAAGGAGUCUAACAUGUGCGCGAGUCAUUGGGAUAACAAAACCUAAAGGCGAAAUGAAAGUGAAAGUUGACCUUGCGUCGACAGAGGGAGGAUGGGUGGCGGAAGGCUACUACCGCACUCCCGGGGCGUCUCGUUCUCAUUGCGAGAAGAGGCGCACCUAGAGCGUACACGUUGGGACCCGAAAGAUGGUGAACUAUGCCUGGUGAGGACGAAGUCAGGGGAAACCCUGAUGGAGGUCCGUAGCGAUUCUGACGUGCAAAUCGAUCGUCGGAACUGGGUAUAGGGGCGAAAGACUAAUCGAACCAUCUAGUAGCUGGUUCCCUCCGAAGUUUCCCUCAGGAUAGCUGGCAAUCUCGAAGAGAAUACGACUUAACACACAGUCUCAUCUGGUCAAGCGAAUGAUUAGAGGCCUUGGGGCCGAAACGACCUCAACCUAUUCUCAAACUUUAAAUGGGUGAGAUCUCUCGUGUUGCUUGAUAGUGCAGCCAAGAGAAAUGGAUGAGAUGC
rnacentral:rRNA from 1 species